AAAUAUUAAAGGCAACGCCUGCCCAGUGAACAAUUAAACGGCCGCGGUACCCUAACCGUGCAAAGGUAGCAUAAUCAUUUGUCUACUAAUUAUAGACCUGUAUGAAAGGCAAAAUGAGGGCCUAACUGUCUCUUAUAGUAAAUCAAUUAAACUGAUCUACUAGUAAAAAAGCUAGAAUUUCAACAUAAGACCAGAAGACCCUGUGAAGCUUAAACUAAACUAUUAAAGCCAAUAAUAAUUACUUUCGGUUGGGGCGACCUUGGAAAAAAAAAGAACUUCCAAUAUAGUGAUAAUCACACACAUAGGCCCACAAGCCAACAUAAGACCCAGCAAAGCUGAUAAUUGAAACAAGUUACUCCAGGGAUAACAGCGCAAUCUUCUUCAAGAGCCCAUAUCAAAAAGAAGGUUUACGACCUCGAUGUUGGAUCAGGACAUCCUAAUGGUGUAGCAGCUAU
rnacentral:rRNA from 1 species